UACAGAGGUCUCAAGCGUUGUUCGGAUUCAUUGGGCGUAAAGGGUGCGUAGGUGGCGCGGUAAGUCGGGUGUGAAAUCUCGGAGCUUAACUCCGAAAUUGCAUUCGAUACUGCCGUGCUCGAGGACUGGAGAGGAGACUGGAAUUCAUGGUGUAGCAGUGAAAUGCGUAGAGAUCAUGAGGAAGGCCAGUGGCGAAGGCGGGUCUCUGGACAGUUCCUGACACUGAGGCACGAAGGCCAGGGGAGCAAACGGG
rnacentral:rRNA from 1 species